rnacentral:rRNA from 1 species
CGGCGGACGGGUGAGUAACGCGUGGGUAACCUGCCUCAUACAGGGGGAGUAACAGUUGGAAACGGCUGCUAAUACCGCAUAAGCGCACAGUACCGCAUGGUACCGUGUGAAAAACUCCGGUGGUAUGAGAUGGACCCGCGUCUGAUUAGGUAGUUGGUGGGGUAACGGCCUACCAAGCCGACGAUCAGUAGCCGACCUGAGAGGGUGACCGGCCACAUUGGGACUGAGACACGGCCCAAACUCCUACGGGAGGCAGCAUG